AGGGUUUGAUCAUGGCUCAGGACGAACGCUGGCGGCAUGCCUAACACAUGCAAGUCGAACGAGAAAGUUCCUUCGGGAGCGAUUAAAGUGGCGCACGGGUGAGUAACGCGUAGACAAUCUGCCCUUCAGUCUGGGACAACUUUUCGAAAGGAGAGCUAAUACCGGAUAACAAUGCAUGACACAAGUUGUAUAUUUGAAAGCUUUAUGUGCUGAAGGAGGGGUCUGCGUCCCAUUAGCUAGUUGGUAAGGUAAAGGCUUACCAAGGCAACGAUGGGUAGCGGGUUUGAGAGGACGAUCCGCCACACUGGAACUGAGACACGGUCCAGACUCCUACGGGAGGCAGCAGUGGGGAAUAUUGCACAAUGGAGGCAACUCUGAUGCAGCAAUGUCGCGUGAGUGAAGAAGGCCCUUGGGUCGUAAAGCUCUUUUAUGGGGGAAGAUGAUGACGGUACCCCAAGAAUAAGCACCGGCUAACUAUGUGCCAGCAGCCGCGGUAAUACAUAGGGUGCGAGCGUUGUUCGGAAUUACUGGGCGUAAAGGGCGCGCAGGCGGAAUAGUAAGUCGGAGGUGAAAGCCCGGGGCUCAACCCCGGAGGGUCUUUCGAAACUGCUAAUCUAGAGAGGGUCAGGGGCCGGCAGAAUUCCUGGUGUAGAGGUGAAAUUCGUAGAUAUCAGGAGGAAUACCGGUGG
rnacentral:rRNA from 1 species